UACGUAGGUGGCAAGCGUUGUUCGGAAUUAUUGGGCGUAAAGGGCGCGUAGGCGGUCUUGUAAGUCAGCUGUGAAAGCCCGGGGCUCAACCCCGGAGGGUCGGCUGAUACUGCAGGACUGGAGUACGGAAGAGGUAGCUGGAAUUCCCGGUGUAGCGGUGAAAUGCGUAGAUAUCAGGAGGAACACCGGUGGCGAAGGCGGUUCUCUGGGAAUGUACUGACGCUGAGGAGCGAAAGUGUGGGGAGCGAACAGG
rnacentral:rRNA from 1 species